rnacentral:rRNA from 1 species
GGCCAGACUCCUACGGGAGGCAGCAGUGGGGAAUAUUGCACAAUGGGGGAAACCCUGAUGCAGCGACGCCGCGUGAGCGAAGAAGUAUUUCGGUAUGUAAAGCUCUAUCAGCAGGGAAGAAAAUGACGGUACCUGACUAAGAAGCUCCGGCUAAAUACGUGCCAGCAGCCGCGGUAAUACGUAGGGGGCAAGCGUUAUCCGGAUUUACUGGGUGUAAAGGGAGCGUAGACGGCGAUGCAAGUCUGAAGUGAAAGGCGGGGGCCCAACCCCCGGACUGCUUUGGAAACUGUAUAGCUGGAGUGCAGGAGAGGUAAGUGGAAUUCCUAGUGUAGCGGUGAAAUGCGUAGAUAUUAGGAGGAACACCAGUGGCGAAGGCGGCUUACUGGACUGUAACUGACGUUGAGGCUCGAAGGCGUGGGGAGCAAACAGGAUUAGAUACCCCUGUAAG